GGUGGCUCAAUGGUAGAGUGUUUGCCUCACAUGCAUAAGACACUGGGUUCGAUUCCUCAGCACCA
rnacentral:tRNA from 1 species